CUCCCAAACCCAAUGUGAACGUUACCAAACUGUUGCCUCGGCGGGAUCUCUGCCCCGGGUGCGUCGCAGCCCCGGACCAAGGCGCCCGCCGGAGGACCAACCAAAACUCUUAUUGUAUACCCCCUCGCGGGUUUUUUUUAUAAUCUGAGCCUUCUCGGCGCCUCUCGUAGGCGUUUCGAAAAUGAAUCAAAACUUUCAACAACGGAUCUCUUGGUUCUGGCAUCGAUGAAGAACGCAGCGAAAUGCGAUAAGUAAUGUGAAUUGCAGAAUUCAGUGAAUCAUCGAAUCUUUGAACGCACAUUGCGCCCGCCAGUAUUCUGGCGGGCAUGCCUGUCCGAGCGUCAUUUCAACCCUCGAACCCCUCCGGGGGGUCGGCGUUGGGGAUCGGCCCUCCCUUAGCGGGUGGCCGUCUCCGAAAUACAGUGGCGGUCUCGCCGCAGCCUCUCCUGCGCAGUAGUUUGCACACUCGCAUCGGGAGCGCGGCGCGUCCACAGCCGUUAAACACCCAACUUCUGAAAUGUUGACCUCGGAUCAGGUAGGAAUACCCGCUGAACUUAAGCAUAUCAAUAAGCGGAGGAAAAGAAACCAACAGGGAUUGCCCCAGUAACGGCGAGUGAAGCGGCAACAGCUCAAAUUUGAAAUCUGGCCCCUAGGGUCCGAGUUGUAAUUUGUAGAGGAUGCUUUUGGUGAGGUGCCGCCCGAGUUCCCUGGAACGGGACGCCACAGAGGGUGAGAGCCCCGUCUGGCUGGCCGCCGAGCCUCUGUAAAGCUCCUUCGACGAGUCGAGUAGUUUGGGAAUGCUGCUCAAAAUGGGAGGUAUAUGUCUUCUAAAGCUAAAUAUUGGCCAGAGACCGAUAGCGCACAAGUAGAGUGAUCGAAAGAUGAAAAGCACCUUGAAAAGAGGGUUAAAUAGUACGUGAAAUUGUUGAAAGGGAAGCGCUUGUGACCAGACUUGGGCGCGGCGGAUCAUCCGGGGUUCUCUCCGGUGCACUUCGCCGCGUCUAGGCCAGCAUCAGUUCGUCGCGGGGGAAAAAGGCUUCGGGAACGUGGCUCCUCCGGGAGUGUUAUAGCCCGUUGCAUAAUACCCUGCG
rnacentral:rRNA from 1 species